rnacentral:lncRNA from 1 species
CAACUACUUUGUUAUGCUAUGUGUUCUUUUUGGCUUGUCUCUUCAUUCAUUUAAUCACAGUGCAGGAAGCCCCAUGCCAGAUGUUGAGAAUAAAGUGAGAAACAACACUAGACACCCCCCGCCUCCCCUGAGGCUACAGUCCAGCAGGCAAGAGAGACAUUAAUCAACCAACCUUACUGACUACUGAGUGUGUGACUACAGCCUGAGAUAAGAACCCUGAAUAUGAGAGAGCAUGGAGAACCUGGCCCAGACCCUCAGCUCAGGAUUUCCCUUGAGUAAGUGACAUGUGAAGUGAGAUUCACAUUUGACUAAGAGAGACAUUAAUCAAUCAACCUUACUUACUACUGAGUGUGUGACUACAGCCUGAGAUAAGAACCCUGAAUAUGAGAGAGCAUGGAGAACCUGACCCAGACCCCCAGCUCAGGAUUUCCCUUGAGCAGCGGCUGUAAAGGUCUUUGUUGCUGUUGCUGCCAUGUUAAUGACCCAGCUUGGGGCGCUGCCGCGGCCGCCGGCCGCUUCUUCCAAAGAAAACAAAUCAAAGUGGGUAUUCAUCCAUCCAUCUUUUCAUUCAGUCACCAUGAUGGAACCCAUCCUGUGCUACCUUCCAGAAACCAUACAAGCUGUUCUAGAUGCUAAUAAGGUAAGGUCUCUGUCCUGAAGCUGCUCUCUUCCCAGCGUCAGAGACAAACUGGUGCCAUCAUAAGUGCUUGAAGCGUGGGGUGGGUCAGGAACAAGAUCAGGUGAAAGGGAAAUCACUGGGUUAUGAGAUGAGGAGACUGGAGGGCAGGGUGUGGGGUGAGGACCGGCUUGUUAGGAGGCCUUGUCAUCUCUGAAGCAAAAGGCCACCUGGUCUGAGCUAUGCCAGAGGGAGCAAAGAAGGCCGACUAUCUAAAAAGGUGGAAUCAGGAGCGCCUAGGUGGCUCAGUCGGUUAAGUGUCUGACUUCAGCUCAGGUCAUGAUCUCACAGCUUGUGGGUUGGAGUCCCGUAUCGGGACAGCUCAGAGCCUGGAGCCUGCUACUGAUUCUGUGUCUCUCUCUCCCUCU